rnacentral:misc_RNA from 1 species
GUACCAAAGUUGCUGCUGAUUUUGUUUCUCCUGAAAACAUUCGAGAAUGUUUCCGCCUCACAGCUGAGUUCAGGACAUUGCCGAAAGGCCACAAGGCCAGAGAAGACAAACUAGAGGUGCCAUAUAAAAAAUGCUUUAUUUUAAUCUGACUAUGUUAAGACAAGCCUCCAUUUCUUACUGACUUGUUUCAUCCUCUGGUGUAACAGAUAAAGAAGAUGGUCCUUCAUGCAAUCAACCAAGUUGUCACAGAUUUGGAGCAGCUCACAUACAUAGCUUAGAGAAAUAGCAGUACUUUCUUUGGCAGCAGUAGCAGUUAGUAUUUGGUUAUUGCUAUUGUCCUUGUGUGUUCUUUUAGGUGUUAGGCCAAGGACAAUUUUGAUACAUAUUUCUUGCAGCUUAGGCCCUCUUCACCAUUGUUGCCAUGAAAGAAUAAGCCCUUCCAAUUCUUCCAUACCCAUGUUUUUUGAUCCUUUCAUCCUUUUUGUUCUCAACUUCAUUCAAAUCCCCCAAUCCAUCCAAAAAUCCACACCAAUCUAAUAAAAUUUUACAAAUUAACUUCAAAUUCUAGAUCCAUCUUUGAGUAUUUUUU